GAAAGGGAAACUGGUUAAUAUUCCAGUACCUUCUUGCACCAAACGUCGACGCUUUAGGAAACACCGAGCGGGGCCUUCGCCCCGUCGAAUCACCGAAAUUCGUGGAAGCCGUAACGGCACGAAGCGAACGAAUGGUGAGACAGGGAAACUCGGCGGUACCUAGAGCCCGUGAAAAGACAAGCAAGAAGCUCGUACCGAGAUCCGACACAGGUGCGCUGGCAGAGCAAGCCAAGGCCUGUCGGGAUCAACCGACGUUAGGGAAUUCGGCAAGUUAGUCCCGUAAGUUCGCGAUAAGGGAUGCCUGCUCUUGACCGAGCAGGUCGCAGUGACUCGGACGCUCCGACUGUCUAGUAACAACAUAGGUGACCGCAAAUCCGCAAGGACUCGUACGGUCACUGAAUCCUGCCCAGUGCGGGUAUCUGAACACCUAGUACAAUAGGACGAAGGACCCGUCAACGGCGGGGGUAACUAUGACCCUCUUAAGGUAGCGUAGUACCUUGCCGCUUCAGUAGCGGCUUGCAUGAAUGGAUCAACGAGAGCGUCACUGUCCCAACGUUGGGCCCGGUGAACAGUACGUUCCAGUGCGGAGUCUGGAGACCCCCAAGGGGAAGCGAAGACCCUAUAGAGCUUUACUGCAGGCUGUCGCUGAGACGUGGUCGCUAAUGUGCAGCAUAGGUAGGAGCCGUUACACAGGUACCCGCGCCAGCGGGCCACCGAGGCAACAUUGAAAUACUACCCGUUAGUGACUGCGACUCUCACUCCUGGCGGAGGACACCGGUAGCCGGGCAGUUUGACUGGGGCGGUACGCGCUCGAAAAGAUAUCGAGCGCGCCCAAAGAUUUCCUCACGCGAGUCGGGAACUCGUGGAAGAGCGCAAGAGCAAACGGAAGUCUGACAGUGACAUUCCCAACGAGUGUCGCUGACGCGAAAGCGUGGUCUAGCGAACCUACGAGGUUCAUUCAUGGGACCCGUAGAUGACAGAAAAGCUACCUUAGGGAUAACAGAGUCGUCACCGGCAAGAGCACAUAUCGACCCGGUGGCUUGCUACCUCGAUGUCGGUUCCCUCCAUCCUGCCUGUGCAGAAGCAGGCAAGGGUGAGGUUGUUCGCCUAUUAAAGGAGGUCGUGAGCUGGGUUUAGACCGUCGUGAGACAGGUCGGCUGCUAUCUAUUGGGGGUGUUAAGGAACUUGACGUGAACGUUCGUAUAGUACGAGAGGAACUACGAAUGGGUGCCACUGGUGUACCGGUUGUCCGAGAGGGCAGAUGCCGGGCAGCUACGCACCACGGGGUAAGAGCUGAACGCAUCUAAGCUCGAAACCCACACGGAAAAGAAGUUCCACUGAGGACACUCGUAGAAGACGAGUUCGAUAGACUCGGGGNAAGAGCUGAACGCAUCUAAGCUCGAAACCCACACGGAAAAGAAGUUCCACUGAGGACACU
rnacentral:rRNA from 1 species